rnacentral:rRNA from 1 species
AAAAACAUCGCCUCUUGCAAAACAACAUAUAAGAGGUCCCGCCUGCCCUGUGAUAAUAAAUUUAACGGCCGCGGUAUUUUGACCGUGCGAAGGUAGCGAAAUCACUUGUCUUUUAAAUGAAGACCUGUAUGAAUGGCACGACGAGGGCUUAACUGUCUCCUUUUUCAAGUCAAUGAAAUUGAUCUCCCCGUGCAGAAGCGGGGAUAAAGACAUAAGACGAGAAGACCCUAUGGAGCUUUAGACACCAGAAUAGACCAUGUUAAACACCCCUAGAAAACGGGCUAAACCAAAUGAGACCUAUUCCAUUGUCUUUGGUUGGGGCGACCGCGGGGAAACAAAAAACCCCCACGUGGAAUGGGAGUACUACUCCUAAAACUAAGAGCUCCCGCUCUAGAAAACAGAAUUUCUGACCAGUAAGAUCCGGCAACGCCGAUCAACGGACCGAGUUACCCUAGGGAUAACAGCGCAAUCCCCUUUUAGAGCCCAUAUCGACAAGGGGGUUUACGACCUCGAUGUUGGAUCAGGACAUCCUAAUGGUGCAGCCGCUAUUAAGGGUUCGUUUGUUCAACGAUUAAAGUCCUACGUGAUCUGAG